GGGCUUUGAUGUUUUUCUUUGUAAGAUAAGGCUUCCGUCUUGCCACCCUACCCCAUAGCCCAGACAUAUGAAGACAGUGGGAGAUUGUUGUCACAUGUAUUACACAGCCAGUACUUGCCAGAAAUUCCUGCAGCUCCUUCAGUGUUGCUGUUGGCCUCUUGGUAGCCUCCCUGACCAGUUUCCUUCUUGUCUUAUCAUCAGCUUUGGACGGACGUCCUGUUCUUGGUAAUGUCACUGUUGUGCCAUAUUUUCACCACUUGAUGAUGACGGUCUUUACUGUGCUCCAUGGUAUAUUUAAUUCCUUGGAAAUUCUUUUGUAGCCCUCACCUGAGUGAUAUCUUUGAAUAAUGAGAUCCCGCUGAUGCUUUGGAAGCUCUCUGUGGACCAUGGCUUGUGCUGGAAGAUGUGGUUACAAAAUGUCAGGAAGAACUGCUAGAACAGCAGAACUUUAUUUUGGGUUGAUCAGAGGCACUUAAAUUGGUGACAGGUGUGUGCUGACUCCAAUUUAACCUGAGUUUGAAAGUUAUUGGUUAAAUCUGAACACAGCCACAUCCCCAGUUAUUAAAGGGUGUGCACACUUAUGCAAACACAUGAUCUCAGUUGUUUAUUUUUACUUCACCUCCCUGAAAGAUUUCUGUUUGUUUUUCAAUUGUGUUGUACAGGUUAUAGGUCACAUUAAAGGUGAAAGGAUUUGUGAAAAUCAUUUAUCUUGAUUUAAUUUUUUUACACGAAAAAAACCUGGCAGUUGAACAGGGGUGUGUAGUUUUUUAUAUCCACUAUAAGAAGUCACAGCUGCCCUGUUGCAGACUGACGGAAACCUGGCUUCCAGUUUGUGUUCUACGGCCUCUUUGACCAUCACCACACAACACUCACAAUCAUACACCAGUGGAGGACACACACUGGGAGCAAGGUGGGUUAAGUGUCUUGCCCAAGGACACAACGGACAGACUCAGGAUAGGGGGGAAUCAAACCGCCAACCUUCUGGUUAUUGGAUGACUGCUCUACCUCCUGAGCCCCUAUUCAUGAUAUUUUUGUCAGAUUCCUGAGUUUUUUGUUAGUAUAAGUCUUUUUAUAAGUUUGACAGCUUUUCUUCACACUGAUCAUCAGCUUCAUGGUACCCCUCCAGUACAGUGAGUGUGAUUGGUGGUGGUAUGUCUGACUUACAUGAUGUGCUUUUGUCCGAACUGACAGGUAGAUGAAUUGUAUAAACUGUAUUAUACACGAACAUGGGUGUGCUGCAUGGCUAAGUGACCCUGCAAAAACAGAGCAAAACUCAACAUGCCAAAGAUUCAGCUCAAAGUUCAUCUUUUGUACACUAAGGCAUGCCUGACACAUGAUGUAUAUGCUGGAUUCUUGGUGUUUCUAAGGAUCAGCAACCAUGAAUCACAAACGUUGCGCAACAUUUUUACUUUCAAGGCAGACAAAACCCCAAACCCUGGAAAUGUUUCUACAUUACAUUUGAAUAUGCUAAGAUUGGUGUUUACAGUAGUGUCUCUAAAGCUUUUGUGAUGUUUUUUUUAGCCCACUCUAAGAUGAAAAACAAAUAGAAAUAAGAAAAUGUAGAUAACUAUCGGUCAGAGUCUAGAUUCAAACACUCCCUUGCUCACCCCGCCCAUCAGUGAAACAACAGUAGCAUUGGAGGACGAGUGUGAGCCUCUACCUGUCAAGUAUUACCAAAGAAAACAUAAAUCAAUACAAAUUAUUUUGCAAACAAUGAAAAUCACCCUCUUCUUCAUCAUCUGGCAAACAGUGCACUUCGCCCAGCCACUCCGAAAAAAGUUGUGACUGGUUUGUCCAUUCUGUGCUACUGUAGAAAUAUGGCGCUCCAGUUUGUCUUGAACCUUUAGCUUUUGUGUGAGGACAAAGAAAACAAAAUACUCAUUAUUUGAUCGGACAUUUGGGAGACACUUGGACUUGGGCUUUGGGACUCCAUCUCUUUAUUGAAAUGUGGACCAGAAUUGCUUCUAAAGACCUUAAAACCACGACCACAGAGCAGCUGUCAGGAGCCACAUGUCAGACACGUCCCAUUUUCAUCUUGUGAUCACUGUUCCUCUUUUAAAGAACAUUCAUUGUUUUGUCACUGUUAAAAAAUGAGAUGACACAUUGAUGCUUGACAUUUUGACCCUGCUGGAGCCUCCAAAGCUGAUUUUAGAGUCUCUUACAGUAUAUUGUACUGCCUGUAAAUGUGUUGCAGUAUCUCUACAAUCUAGCUCCAAAAAGUGAGCAUGCUGUCUGAAAUUAAAUGCUACCUGAACUGAAAAUAAAAACUCAUACUGGUUUAGUGUUGCAGCCUGUUCCUAUGCUUUUCUGAUUUCUACACUUUGAACCCUGACUUAUUGAUCAGCAUGACACAACUUUUUAACUCAAAGUGGACAAAAAAGCAACUUUAAUUUCUAAUACUGAAAUAUUUUGAGAACAAAACUUCCACCCUGUCUUGAGUUUGAUAUGUGAAAGUUGCAGGAAUACUACAGAGAUUCAGAGUUAUGUGUUUGGCCCAUGUCACACAAGUUUUUUUGUGUCUACUUCCCUCUAGUGCUCAAAAGAGAAACUACAUAAGUCUGCUGGUGCUUGUGCUCCUUGAUUGACAAAAUAUUUCUUUUAUAUUGCCUGUAGUUAUGACUCAUUAUGUUGUUUUUCCCCAUAACCUCAAAUGUAAUAAUGAUGUUUGGGGUCUUUAUAUCAUUUCAUUUUCUCAGCUUUGCUUGUGCUUAUACUGUCCAAGAUUGCGGCUCAUGUCAUAAUAACUUUUUUUCUGUUCAUUUGUUUUUCUUUUUUCCCCCCAUGAAAAUAUCCUAAACAAAACGUAAAAAUACUGGCUUACAGGGGGUUUAAGUUCUCAAAAUCAAUCAUUCGUAACUUAAAAUUGAACAGGACCUCAGUUGGUAAAAGUAUCUGAUGGUGUGAAAAAGGGAAAUAGUAUCAUUCGUGUUACAAUUUAAUGGCACUUUUCUACAGAGGAAAUUGGGGUCAAAAUUGGAGGAAUAAGUUUGUAUCAGAAAUUAAAUAACCUGAUGAGGUCUCUUAAUUAGUUUUGUGUUUUUAUGUAGUCAAAGCCAAAGAGUGUCGACUUCCACCAAAUGGCCAAUGCAG
rnacentral:lncRNA from 1 species